UGUAUAUGCUUUUGUCUUUUGAUAUUUGUGUGACUGCAUUUGUAGAAGAUGUCGAUACAGGGCUUUUUUAAAUGUGGGUAAGGCCUUCGAACCUGCGCAAUGGAUUUUUUAGGUGAGACACAGUGUGCACAGAACUGAACCGCCUCUUUAAUUCUAAGGUUCAUCUGCCAGGGCAGAGCUAGCUUGGACGGUGGCAGCGAGGUCCUCAGGACAUAGGUUUAGUUCGAGUGACCUUCUCUUAGAUGGAUGGCCUUACAGGGCUGAUCGAGCUCCAUCUUCCCAGGUUUAGAGUUGUCCUUCUCUUCUGUGUGUUCUGGGCUUCCCCUCUCAUCUCCCACGAUGGCACAGUCCGCACUGGCGAAGCUCCCCCUCUCUCGCUCCUUUCCACUCCCAAGGCCAGAGCCGGGCCGGGCCCAAGCACCCAGGGCCAGGCCACGCCACAGCGUGCACGUACCCGGGGCCACCCAGGGCCGUGGCGUGGCGUCUUUAAGCACCAAGCUACUAUAUUUAUUUCCAUGGAAGUUAAUUCAUCAUACAACGGUCCCCAGCUGCUCUGACAACGGCUCUAAGAAGCACAGAUGAAAUUGAUAAAUAAAAUGGGAGCAUGUGUCAUAUGUCCUAUUGAAGAUUGGCUGCAGACGUAUGAGGAACAUGAAAGUCAUGGACUUAGAAGGAUAACUGCUGAGAAAACAUCACUCUCUAUCUUACUGAGUCAAAAACUUGCUUGGAUCAAUCUACUACAGAUGGGACAAGUCUCAAGACUCUUGGAUAUCAGCUUAUACAUUCCACUUGGUGUUGAGGACAGAAAUCAUCCCCUGGACCUCUUCUGUUCAGCAUUAUAGAUAAA